AUUGAACGCUGGCGGCAGGCCUAACACAUGCAAGUCGAGCGAGCGGCGGACGGGUGAGUAAUGUCUGGGAAACUGCCUGAUGGAGGGGGAUAACUACUGGAAACGGUAGCUAAUACCGCAUACCAUCAGAUGUGCCCAGAUGGGAUUAGCUAGUAGGUGGGGUAAUGGCUCACCUAGGCGACGAUCCCUAGCUGGUCUGGGAGGAUGACAGUCCCACCGGGAACGAGGCACCGGCCCAGCCUAUUAGGGGGGGCAGCAGGGGGGAAAAUUGCACAAGGGCGGCAAGCAUGUUGAAUCAAUGCGGGGUGUGUGAAGAAGGCAUAGGGGUGGUAAAGCACUUCCGGCGAGGAGACGUUACACGCAGAAGAAGCACCGGCUAACUCCGUGCCAGCAGCCGCGGUAAUUC
rnacentral:rRNA from 1 species